rnacentral:rRNA from 1 species
GCGCGUAAAUUGCCCGAAUCCUGACACAGGGAGGUAGUGACAAGAAAUAACAAUACAGGGCUCUCUGAGUCUUGUAAUUGGAAUGAGUACAAUUUACAUCUCUUCACGAGGAUCAAUUGGAGGGCAAGUCUGGUGCCAGCAGCCGCGGUAAUUCCAGCUCCAAUAGCGUAUAUUAAAGUUGUUGCAGUUAAAACGCUCGUAGUCGGAUUUCGGGGCGGGGCCGCCGGUCUGCCGAUAGGUAUGCACUGGCGGGCGCGUCCUUUUUCCCGGAGACGGCUGCUACUCUUAACUGAGCGGUGGUCGGAGACGGGAUGUUUACUUUGAAAAAAUCAGAGUGUUUCGAGCAGGCAGUCGCUCUUGCAUGGAUUAGCAUGGGAUAAUGAAAUAGGACUCUGGUGCUAUUUUGUUGGUUUCGAGCACCGGAGUAAUGAUUAACAGGGACAGUCAGGGGCACUCGUAUUCC